rnacentral:rRNA from 1 species
CACGAACCGUACGAACGUUAUUCGGAAUUACUGGGCUUAAAGGGUUUGUAGGCGGCCUUGUAAGUCAGGUGUGAAAGCCCCUCGGCUCAACCGAGGAACAGCGCUUGAUACUGCAAGGCUUGAGGGAGACAGGGGUAAGCGGAACUGAUGGUGGAGCGGUGAAAAUGCAUUGAUAUCAUCAGGAACACCGGUGGCGAAAGCGGCUUACUGGGUCUCUUCUGACGCUGAGGAACGAAAAGCUAAGGGUAGCGAACGGG